GCCCGGCUGGCUCAAUGGUAGAGCAUCAGACUUCUAAUCUGGAGGUUGCGGGUUCGAGUCCCGCGUCGGGUU
rnacentral:tRNA from 5 species